rnacentral:rRNA from 1 species
GACGAACGCUGGCGGCGUGCCUAAUACAUGCAAGUAGAACGCUGAAGGAGGAGCUUGCUCUUCUGGAUGAGUUGCGAACGGGUGAGUAACGCGUAGGUAACCUGCCUGGUAGCGGGGGAUAACUAUUGGAAACGAUAGCUAAUACCGCAUAAGAGUAGAUGUUGCAUGACAUUUACUUAAAAGGUGCAAUUGCAUCACUACCAGAUGGACCUGCGUUGUAUUAGCUAGUUGGUGGGGUAACGGCUUACCAAGGCGACGAUACAUAGCCGAACUGAGAGGGUGAUCGGCCACACUGGGACUGAGACACGGCCCAGACUCCUACAGGAGGCAGCAGUAGGGAAACGUCGGCAAUGGACGGAAGUCUGACCGAGCAACGCCGCGUGAGUGAAGAAGGAUUUCGGAUCGUAAAGCUCUGUUGUAAGAGAAGAACGAGUGUGAGAGUGGAAAGUUCACACUGUGACGGUAUCUUACCAGAAAGGGACGGCUAACUACGUG